UGAGUGAAUGUGUGUGAAAGGGUGAAUGUGGCACGUAGUGUAAAAGCGCUUUGAGUGGUCGGAAGACUAGAAAGGCGCUAUACAAGUACAGGUCCAUUUACCAUUUACCAUACUCAAUUAAUCAGUGUGAAUAUUUUCAGUGUGUCUUUCGUCCUCUAUGACAUCAAACUAAACAACUACUAAACAACUGAUAAUGAAAAUGAGCUACAUACAGCAUGUGAUCAAAAAGAAAUUAAAUUAAAACUAAAUGUCUCGUCAUUCUAUGUUUGUACAUGAAAUAUCCAGACAGAUUUAUUAGUGGAUUUAGAGUCAAGGUGACUCUUAUGGUUAUUAGUUAAGGCUUCAACAGCAAAGUAAGUUUUGAUGUGAGAAACCAGAAACCAGAUUAUUACUUUCCAAAGUGAAAUCUGAUUUUCAUUAUAACAAAGCAUUACCUUCAUACUCUGUUCACAGUCCUCCUGCUCUCUCCUCUCACUCACCUGAAGAUGCCUUCUGUCUGGUCACCAUUGAGACCCAGAACCUCUUCAGAAAGGCGAGUCUGCACCCAGGGCAGCUGGCUGUCAGGAUACCGCUCCUUCUGGAGCGCCAUCACCUCUUCCAGGGAGGAGCCAAACAUGGAGGGACUGAAGAUGGCAUUCCUGGCGUGAUUGAUCUCCUCCAGACAGGGUUUCUGCAGGCCCUGGAGAGACACACACACACACACACACACACAGGAGUCAAAGCUAUAACAUGUAUAACAUUUCCACAUUAAAAUAUCUAUAAACUCUA